rnacentral:rRNA from 1 species
ACGGGAGGCAGCAGUGGGGGAUAUUGCGCAAUGGGGGAAACCCUGACGCAGCAACGCCGCGUGAAGGAAGAAGGUCUUCGGAUUGUAAACUUUUGUCUUCGGGGACGAAAACCGACGGUACCCGAGGAGGAAGCCACGGCUAACUACGUGCCAGCAGCCGCGGUAAUACGUAGGUGGCGAGCGUUGUCCGGAAUUACUGGGUGUAAAGGGCGUGUAGGCGGGUAAUCAAGUCAGAUGUGAAAUACCGAGGCUUAACUUCGGGGCUGCAUUUGAAACUGAAUAUCUUGAGUGCAGGAGAGGAAAGCGGAAUUCCUAGUGUAGCGGUGAAAUGCGUAGAUAUUAGGAGGAACACCAGUGGCGAAGGCGGCUUUCUGGACUGUAACUGACGCUGAGGCGCGAAAGCAUGGGGAGCAAACAGGAUUAGAUACCCUGGUA